UUUCACUGGUGGAGGUAUGGAUGAGUACAUAUUCAUCUUCAUGUAUUCACUUUUGCUUUUUUAGAAGCUGUUCUAUGUUGUCUUUGCAUUACUCCUCAGCCAUCAUAAACCCUGCCUAAGCAAAGAUGUGGAUUCUUAGUGCAGAACAAAAAAAAAAAAGAUGCAUCAGAGCACAAGUACAAAGUAGUGAAAAGAAAACUAACUGUUCUCUCCCACCUGGCCAUCUUUAUCCAUCAUAAAGAUACAAAACUAGAGCACAAAUCCUAUUUAUAUUCCCUUUGAAGGUCACUUCUGGCUUGCUUUACAGAGGCCAGACUUGUGCCUUUGCUACCCCAAAAGCUAUUUGCUUUGAAAUAAGAGAUCUGUUUUCUCUAAGUUGCAGAUAAUAAUCUCCCUCCUGGCUCUGCCCAGUUGACUUUGGCCUGUUUAUUCCACCAGAAGGAGUGUGUGAUUGCAGGGCAGGACGAGGGGCUGCCUGGUGUCCUGAAGCAGUGGGGUUGUGCAUCUCAGGAAGGCUGAGGCGUUUCCAUCCAGCUCUGUCACAGCCCUCAGGGGUUGGUGCAGGCAUCUCCCAGCUCCAGGUGAGACUUCCCACCUGAGGUUUCUCCCAUCCUUGCACGAGCAUGUUAGGACAUGGAAUCCUGGACAUGUCAGCUGCUCCUUGGAAAACAGCUGAUUAAUGGUUAGAGCUGUUAGUGCCAAAAUAAAACUAUUUGGCUGCCUAAAAUGGGGCAGCCUUCAAGUUGCUGCUGGGCUGCACAGCUCCUGAGACUGCUGCUCCCAGUCCUUGGCACUGGGAGGUGGAUGCACACAGGUACUCCCAGCACAUGGUGCUUUCCCAAAAGCUGAAGCAGAGGCAGCGGGGGGCUGUGCCUUGGAAGGGCAGAACGGAGACCCGGGACCUGGGAGGAACUGCAGCUUUGAGCAGGCUGAGCAUUCAGAGAGGAGGAGGAGGCUGAUCCUCAGCCCCCGAGUGUCGGGAACAAGCGGUGCUCUGUGCCUGGCGUGAGGCUUUGCAGUGCCAACCAAAUCGCUAGAGAAGAGUAGCACAGAAUGAACAAAAACAAUUGAAUGCCACAGUCUGGAGACGGCAGGUGCAGUGAAACCACUUCAAGCUGCUCACACAAGAAGAUUUUACAAGUGAGCCUUUAAAGAAUAAUGGGGAAAAAAAUAAGUGGCAUAAUUAAUAUAUCAGCUGCAGUGGAAAUGUCUCAAAACAAGUAACAUUUUAAAAAGAGAGCUCUGCUUUUUAUGUGAACUUAAAUCAACACUUGUCCUGCCUAAAAUUCUUCUAUGCUGGCUGCAGGGAGGGCUUGGAUAGAAGUGUAUUUUCUAAUGUUGCAGAGCAAUGCCAUCUAGGGCAUAGAGCUUUACAGUUACCAACAGGAGUGCUAUCCAUCCUUAGUGACAGACCUUCCUGGGCUGAAUAUUAAUAACUGGUUAAUCACCUCUGCAUUAGGCCUGUUGGGACGUGCUCAUUUUCAAUAUCUGCUUCCAGUUUUCUGAACUAUGCUCCUGUCAGUUUUUAAUGGAUAGUUUUGUCUCAACUGGAACAUAGUGAGUUUCUGUAUAUACCUUAGUUCCUCCUGAAAUCCUCCUGUUAGCUUUCAUCUGUGCAGCACAGCAGGCAUUAUCAGUGGUCUCUCUAAUCUUCAGCUACUGGAAGAAUCCACCCUGGCUGUGAUUAGAGCCACGAUACAUUUAGGCAGUAGAUUGAAAUGCUAAACCUAACAGGCCAGAUCUCGUCAUCCUUAUUCAAAAGCUACUUAGUGUGUUACUGAGGUUCUCUUGUUGAAACCAAGCUGCCUGUAGAACACUGGUCUGCAUUAACUGAAAACAUCUCAAGAACCUGGCCCAGCUGCAGCUCUGUCCUCGCUCCUGGCUGACACAGCUCUCUCCAGGCUGAAGUGCCAAAUACGAGCGUAAAGAUGAAAGGAGGACUCACAGUCAUUACUUUCCUGCAAGUUAAGACGGUUGUGCAAGAAGGACUGGGAAUGCCAGCCUGUGUGUUUUGGAAGGUGAUGGGAGCAUGCUCUCGUGUGCCAGGACCCCAUCCACCACAGAGAAGGCAGGGGCUGGUUUAUUUGGUACCUGAUACUUCCAAGUGCUUUAAAACUGAUGUCCAGACUUGGAUCAACUCAAGUUGCUGUGCUUCAGUGCUGGGUCUGAGAUGGCACCAGUGAUGCUGAAUGCAGGUGGGCUGAGGAAGCAGUUAGCCAAACACAGGCCCUACCCCCAUUCUCUCCUACCCACAGAGUGUCACAUAAAAAAAGAUGUGGGUUCAGUGUUGGGAUCAGAACAUGGCUGUGAUCCUUCCCAAGUUCCUGAGGAUUACUCACAGCUAGUGUCUGGCAGUCAUUGUCUCCCUGGACCGAGGUCUCAUCACUACUCUCAUGUUACUUUGGCUCAGGCUGUAGAGAAUGGAAUAGCUUUUGGCAGAUACAGAGGUGGAAUGAGCUCUAAUUGGCAGCUGGAGGCUUGUUCUUACACCUCCCCUUCUUGCUCCCUGAUCCAGUGAGGCUGCUGGUGAGGAGGUGGAUCAGAUGCCAUGGCCCUCACAUCUUACACAGUGCUCAGAGAGGGCAGGAUGUGUGUGGUGUCUUUGCAUUACUAGGUCUGCACUCUGCAAGGGCUUUCUGAGAAACUUGGGGUUCUGGUCCACACACUCUCUGGGAGCUGAGAUGUCAAAGUGCUCACACAUCCCUGUAUGGAGACAUAUUUUAUUUAGUAAUUGCUUUCAAAAAAAUACUUGAAAAUUAAAGAAAGGGAAGGUAAAAAGUAAGCGCUGCUGAGCUGGAAAUGCAGCUUUUCCACUUAGUCAUUUCCUGGCUGUCAGGAAGA